UACGGAGGGUGCAAGCGUUGUCCGGAAUCACUGGGCGUAAAGGGCGCGUAGGCGGCUCGGUAAGUAGGGGGUGAAAUCCUGCGGCUUAACCGCAGGGCUGCCUUCUAAACUGUCGAGCUUGAGCACGGUAGAGGCAGAUGGAAUUCCCGGUGUAGCGGUGGAAUGCGUAGAGAUCGGAAGGAACAUCAGUGGCGAAGGCGACUGUCUGGACAGAUAUUGACGCUGAGGCGCGAAAGCGUGGGGAGCAAACAGG
rnacentral:rRNA from 1 species